CGAUAAUGAUAAAUUCACUGGAUUAAUAUUAUAUUUGGGUUUGAUACAGAUUAUCAUAAAUUAGAGAUAAAAUGUACAUUGAGUACAAAUUGACUUCAGAAGGAUCCCUUUCCAAGCCGAGCCAUCUAUCUUCCACGAAGCACCCCUGAUCCAGCAUCCCGUGCGUCCAUUUGAACGAGUUCAUCACAACAUUUUGGAGUCUUCCCAUGUGCAGUCCAUACACCCGUAUAUCCUACUUUUCAUGGAUCAGUAAUUCAGCAUCCACAUCCUUCCAUAUCAGCCUAUCUCCACCAAUUGCAAUCUCCAGCUUCAUCCGUGCGAAAACAGGGGAGAAGGAAUGAUCCCACGCGUCCGCCACAUCGAUCCCAAGCGCCCGUUCGAACGCAUCCGCCCGCGAUGCAGCAACAGCCCCUCUUCGGCUCUUCCGUGAUCCCAGCGCCUCACAGCCGUCUCCCCCUUCCGGAUUCAAGACCCCCCCUCCUCCGCCUCAGCCCGCGCCUCCUUCCUUCCGCCCGUCGAUCCCGCGGCAUCAGCCUCCUUCUCGGAAUCACAGCAGCCUCCUCCGCCUCAGCCCGCGUCUCCUUCCGUCCGUGAUCAAGGAACCCAGCCAACGUCCUUCCCGAAUCAGCAUCCACCGCGUCCUCCUCCUCCGCGUUGUAGCAGCAUCCCCUUCCGGCCACAGCAACGGAUUAGUAGGGGAUUUUCUUCAGCUCAUCUUCUUCCGCUCGACCCAACACAUCCAGCCAUACGUCCGCGCGCCCAGUUCCUUCCAUUUUCGCAUCCAAGCAAAAUCCCAGCCUCCACCGCAUCCGUGGUCAAUCUCCUCCACGAUCCGCCCAGCCACGGCAUCCUCGCAUCCGGAUCAGCGCCUCCAUCCCGUGAUCCAAGCCCUUCCGUCGAUCCCGCAGCACCCUCCCAGCAUCCCGGAUGACACGCAUUCCUCCCCUAAUUUCAGCACCCCACGACCGUUUUGAUCCAUCACCGGCUUCAAGGCUCGGGCGAUAUAUAAGAAGGGGAGGACGAGAGGAGGGUGGUGAGCUCGGUUGGGGCCAAAGCUCUCGGCUGAAGGAGGUGGCCGGCGGGUCCAAGGAGGAAGAAGAAACAGGGGAAGGGUGUGUUCGGUUUGGGAGAGAAGAAAGAAAGAAAAAAAAGAAACAGAGCCAUGCUCUGUUACGUUUGAAAAGAAGAUUAAAAAAUUAGGGAAAAAAAGAAAGGGGAGAUUUCUAUUUGAUUUUCUUUUAGUCCUUGUUUUCUUUUUUUAUUUGUAGAAGAAAAGAAGCAUUAGGCUUCAUCUUCAAUUUUUUUACUUCUGUAAUCAUUUCUUGUUAUGAAAUUUUUAAUUGUUAUUUUAUGAAAUCUG
rnacentral:lncRNA from 1 species